rnacentral:rRNA from 1 species
GACGAGUCUCACGAACGUUAUUCGGAAUUACUGGGCGUAAAGGGCGCGUAGGCGGCCCGCUACGUCGAACGUGAAAUCCCUGGGCUCAACCCAGGAACUGCGUCCGAUACUGGUGGGCUUGAAUCCGGGAGAGGGAUGUGGAAUUCCAGGUGUAGCGGUGAAAUGCGUAGAUAUCUGGAGGAACACCGGUGGCGAAGGCGACAUCCUGGACCGGUAUUGACGCUGAGGCGCGAAAGCCAGGGGAGCAAACGGG